rnacentral:tRNA from 1 species
GGCACCAUGGCUUAGUUGGUUAAAGCACCUGUCUUGUAAACAGGAGAUCCCCGGUUCGAAUCCGGGUGGUGCCU